AUUGAACGCUGGCGGCAUGCCUUACACAUGCAAGUCGAGCGGAAGCAGGGCGUUUGCUCCUGAAUUCAGCGGCGGACGGGUGAGUAAUGCCUGGGAAUCCGCCUGGUAGUGGGGGAUAACGUCCGGAAACGGGCGCUAAUACCGCAUACGUCCUGGGGGAGAAAGGGGGGGAUCUUCGGACCUCAUGCUAUCAGAUGAGCCUAGGGCGGAUUAGCUAGUUGGUGGGGUAAAGGCCUACCAAGCCGACGAUCCGUAACUGGUCUGAGAGGAUGAUCAGUCACACUGGAACUGAGACACGGCCCAGACUCCUACGGGAGGCAGCAGUGGGGAAUAUUGGACAAUGGGCGAAAGCCUGAUCCAGCCAUGCCGCGUGUGUGAAGAAGGUCUUCGGAUUGUAAAGCACUUUAGGUUGGAACGAAAGGCAGUAAGUUAAUACCUUGCUGUUAUGACGUUACCAAAAGAAUAAGCACCGGCUAACUUCGUG
rnacentral:rRNA from 1 species